AACUACCGGAAACGGUAGCUAAUACCGAAUAGUUGUUUUCUUCUCCUGAAGAGAACUGGAAAGACGGAGCAAUCUGUCACUUGGGGAUGGGCCUGCGGCGCAUUAGCUAGUUGGUGGGGUAACGGCUCACCAAGGCGACGAUGCGUAGCCGACCUGAGAGGGUGAUCGGCCACACUGGGACUGAGACACGGCCCAGACUCCUACGGGAGGCAGCAGUAGGGAAUCUUCCGCAAUGGGCGAAAGCCUGACGGAGCAAUGCCGCGUGAGUGAUGAAGGUUUUCGGAUCGUAAAGCUCUGUUGCCAGGGAAGAACGCUUGGGAGAGUAACUGCUCUCAAGGUGACGGUACCUGAGAAGAAAGCCCCGGCUAACUACGUGCCAGCAGCCGCGGUAAUACGUAGGGGGCAAGCGUUGUCCGGAAUUAUUGGGCGUAAAGCGCGCGCAGGCGGUCAUUUAAGUCUGGUGUUUAAUCCCGGGGCUCAACCCCGGAUCGCACUGGAAACUGGGUGACUUGAGUGCAGAAGAGGAGAGUGGAAUUCCACGUGUAGCGGUGAAAUGCGUAGAUAUGUGGAGGAACACCAGUGGCG
rnacentral:rRNA from 1 species